rnacentral:tRNA from 1 species
UGGAUUCUGAUAAAUCCUUUAGA